UACGGAGGGGGCGCGCGCUAUUCGGAAUCAUUGGGCGUAAAGGGCGCGUAGGCGGCCCGCUAAGUCAGGGGUGAAAUCCCUCGGCUCAACCGAGGAAUUGCCUCUGAAACUGGCAGGCUCGAGGCCGGGAGAGGGUGGUGGAAUUCCCAGUGUAGCGGUGAAAUGCGUAGAUACUGGGAGGAACACCAGUGGCGAAGGCGGCCACCUGGACCGGUUCUGACGCUGAGGCGCGAAAGCGUGGGGAGCAAACAGG
rnacentral:rRNA from 1 species